rnacentral:rRNA from 1 species
GACGAACGCUGGCGGCGUGCUUAACACAUGCAAGUCGAACGGUAAGGCUCCAGCUUGCUGGGGUACACGAGUGGCGAACGGGUGAGUAACACGUGGGUGACCUGCCCUGCACUUCGGGAUAAGCCUGGGAAACUGGGUCUAAUACCGGAUAGGACUGCACCGUGAGGGUGUGGUGGAAAGUUUUUUCGGUGUGGGAUGGGCCCGCGGCCUAUCAGCUUGUUGGUGGGGUAAUGGCCUACCAAGGCGGCGACGGGUAGCCGGCCUGAGAGGGUGGACGGCCACAUUGGGACUGAGACACGGCCCAGACUCCUACGGGAGGCAGCAGUGGGGAAUAUUGCACAAUGGGCGGAAGCCUGAUGCAGCGACGCCGCGUGGGGGAUGACGGCCUUCGGGUUGUAAACUCCUUUCACCAUCGACGAAGGGUUUCUGACGGUAGAUGGAGAAGAAGCACCGGCUAACUACGUGCCAGCAGCCGCGGUAAUACGUAGGGUGCGAGCGUUGUCCGGAAUUACUGGGCGUAAAGAGCUCGUAGGUGGUUUGUCGCGUCGUCUGUGAAAUUCCGGGGCUUAACUCCGGGCGUGCAGGCGAUACGGGCGUAACUUGAGUACUGUAGGGGAGACUGGAAUUCCUGGUGUAGCGGUGAAAUGCGCAGAUAUCAGGAGGAACACCGGUGGCGAAGGCGGGUCUCUGGGCAGUAACUGACGCUGAGGAGCGAAAGCAUGGGGAGCGAACAGGAUUAGAUACCCUGGUAGUCCAUGCCGUAAACGGUGGGCGCUAGGUGUGGGUUUCCUUCCACGGGAUCCGUGCCGUAGCUAACGCAUUAAGCGCCCCGCCUGGGGAGUACGGCCGCAAGGCUAAAACUCAAAGGAAUUGACGGGGGCCCGCACAAGCGGCGGAGCAUGUGGAUUAAUUCGAUGCAACGCGAAGAACCUUACCUGGGCUUGACAUAUACAGGAUCGCGCCAGAGAUGGUGUUUCCCUUGUGGCUUGUAUACAGGUGGUGCAUGGUUGUCGUCAGCUCGUGUCGUGAGAUGUUGGGUUAAGUCCCGCAACGAGCGCAACCCUUGUCUUAUGUUGCCAGCACGUUGUGGUGGGGACUCGUAAGAAACUGCCGGGGUUAACUCGGAGGAAGGUGGGGAUGACGUCAAAUCAUCAUGCCCCUUAUGUCCAGGGCUUCACACAUGCUACAAUGGUCGGUACAGUGGGUUGCCAGUCCGUGAGGGCGAGCUAAUCCCGCAAAGCCGGUCUCAGUUCGGAUCGGGGUCUGCAACUCGACCCCGUGAAGUCGGAGUCGCUAGUAAUCGCAGAUCAGCAACGCUGCGGUGAAUACGUUCCCGGGCCU